GCAAUGGUUCAGUCCAGUUUUAUCCUCCAAACUAUAAACACAGUAGGAGGAAAGGAGGAUUCAUUGGAUAGAGGACGGCCGCCGGUACAAUAGGAUACUGUACAAGGUUGAGCAAUGUCUGACAGUGACAGUGAACGAGAAGAGGAGUAAAGAUUAAAAAUGCUGAAUAUUUCCAAGUUUUUGGGACUCUCUAAUGACAGUGACUCCGAUAGAACUCAAGAGAGGGAGGAUUCUUCCACAAGUAGUGAUGAUAGCAGGCGAAAGGAUGGAAAAAGAGGAUCCUUGGAGCAUGCCAACUCCCUUCCUAACCCUGAGUUUGUAGGUAGGUGGAGCAUGCCAAC